GACGAACGCUGGCGGCGUGCUUAACACAUGCAAGUCGAACGGAAAGGCCCUGCUUUUGUGGGGUGCUCGAGUGGCGAACGGGUGAGUAACACGUGAGUAACCUGCCCUUGACUUUGGGAUAACUUCAGGAAACUGGGGCUAAUACCGGAUAGGAGCUCCUGCUGCAUGGUGGGGGUUGGAAAGUUUCGGCGGUUGGGGAUGGACUCGCGGCUUAUCAGCUUGUUGGUGGGGUAGUGGCUUACCCAGGCUUUGACGGGUAGCCGGCCUGGGAGGGUGACCGGCCACAUUGGGACUGAGAUACGGCCCAGACGCCUACGGGAGGCAGCAGUGGGGAAUAUUGCACAAUGGGCGGAAGCCUGAUGCAGCAACGCCGCGUGCGGGAUGACGGCCUUCGGGUUGUAAACCGCUUUCGCCUGUGACGAAGCGUGAGUGACGGUAAUGGGUAAAGAAGCACCGGCUAACUACGUG
rnacentral:rRNA from 1 species